rnacentral:tRNA from 1 species
GGGUCGUUAGCUCAGUUGGUAGAGCAGUUGGCUUUUAACCAAUUNNUUAACCAAUUGGUCGAAGGUUCGAAUCCUUCACGACCCACCA